rnacentral:rRNA from 1 species
GGGGGGAUCGCAAGACCUCUUGCUUUCGGAGUGGCCGAUAUCGGAUUAGCUAGAUGGUGAGGUAAAGGCUCACCAUGGCGACGAUCCGUAGCUGGUCUGAGAGGACGACCAGCCACACUGGAACUGAGACACGGUCCAGACUCCUACGGGAGGCAGCAGUGGGGAAUUUUGGACAAUGGGCGAAAGCCUGAUCCAGCCAUACCGCGUGAGUGAAGAAGGCCUUCGGGUUGUAAAGCUCUUUCGGCAGGAAAGAAAAGGACCUGGAUAACACCCGGGUCUGAUGACGGUACCUGAGGAAGAAGCACCGGCUAACUACGUGCCAGCAGCCGCGGUAAUACGUAGGGUGCGAGCGUUAAUCGGAAUUACUGGGCGUAAAGCGUGCGCAGGCGGCUUUUUAAGCCAGAUGUGAAAUCCCCGGGCUUAACCUGGGAACUGCAUUUGGAACUGGAAGGCUAGAGUGUAGCAGAGGGGGGUAGAAUUCCACGUGUAGCAGUGAAAUGCGUAGAUAUGUGGAGGAAUACCGAUGGCGAAGGCAGCCCCCUGGGUUAACACUGACGCUCAUGCACGAAAGCGUGGGGAGCAAACAGGAUUAGAUACCCUGGUAGUCCACGCCCUAAACGAUGUCAACUAGUUGUUGGGGGAGGAGACUUCCUUAGUAACGCAGCUAACGCGUGAAGUGACCGC